CUCAUUUUCUCUUGCUGCUGCCAUAUAGGAAGUGCCUUUCACCUCCCAAAGUGAUUCUGAGGCCUCCCCAGCCAUGUGGAACUUUCCAGUGAAGGUGCUGCAUUGAUAACAACUUUAGCCUCUCCAGUGUUCACAAUGGAAGGCCAGGAGAGAGAUUAUCCACAGCCCCGGGGGAAUUCUGAAGAUGGUGGGAAUGGGGUGGACCCCUGGGGCCCCAGCCGUCAGUGAGCAGCCCUGCAGCAGAUUUAACCCCAAUAAUAUUUGAAGUCCUACUGAAGUGCCAUGUCAAAGGCAUUACAGUAGCUCUGAAGAAAAAGUAAAAUACCUUCUGAAACAACUCUGGGAAGAAGCUCACCACCCGGCCACGAUACCCACUUCUUGCUGCCAAGAAGCUUCUAGCUACACGGUUUUUCCUUCCACCCCACAGUGCAGUGGAAACAAGACCCAAGCUCUUCUCAAGGAGUAAGCACAGGACAAGUUUCCUGCUAAGUGGUCCUAAGUCAACAAGGCCAUCUGAUAGGAAUUUGAGGAGUAGUGAAUUUUAUAGGAAUAGAGGGGAAAGGACUCUUUUUCCAUGUAGGCUUCUCUUGGAGUGGGGAGAUUAGGAAAUCUCCAUGAUAUAAAAUGAUGAAAGUUCGAAUCAUUGUCACCCUACCGGAAAGACUCCAAUUUGACCUUAGUGCUUAAUCCCUUUAGUUUGAAGUGUAGCUUAAAAGUAUUUAAAUAAAAUACAGCUGCCCCCAAA
rnacentral:lncRNA from 1 species